UGGGGAGUUAGGAUAUUGACCAUUUUUAAAAUUUUUCUCUCUCUUAUCAAAUUCCUUCUGACAUCAAGUUCUGCUUUUCUCCUCUUCUUGAUGUUUUCUCUGUUUCCUCUUUAUCAAAUUUUUUUUCUUUUUCUCUUAAUUUCUAUUGUAAUUUUUUUUCAUUCAAAUCACAGUAUUUCAAAUUUUUGGUCUCUUCGUGUGGCUUGGUAAGUAGUGGUAGUAAGGUUUUGCUCGAGUUAGGGGUAGUUUGCUAAAGCUGUCCUUA
rnacentral:lncRNA from 1 species